rnacentral:rRNA from 1 species
GAUUCCCNUAUUAGCGGCGAGCGAAGAGGAAUUAGCCANAACCGAAUCCNGCUGNUNCGCGUUGGUGGAAAGUGGGUUAUGGGGCAUUGCUUACAGCAUGCGUCAGAUGUUCAAAUUCCCCAUGAUUGUGGGAUGCUCUCCAGAGAGGGUGUAAAAGCCGUUUGAACACCAGCCUGUGUCCAGGUGCCGUUCCUAGAGUAGGGUUGCUUGGGAAUGCAUCCCGAAUCGGGUGGGGACUCCAUCCAAGGCUAAAUGCUCCGCGAGUCCGAUAGUAAACAAGUACCAUGAGGGAAAGUUGAAAAGAACUUUGAAGAGAGAGUUCAAUAGUACGUGAAGCCGGCAACGUGAUCUUCGACAAAUCCCGAGGUUAUAAAGCUGGGAGUUGGGCUUCGCUGGUGCGACUUUGGUUUGUCUGGGAUGGUCAUCCACUCAGCUUAUCUUGGUUUGUCCAGUGUUGUUCUGUUCUCAGGAAUCUACACCCCGACUAGUACGCGGUCGCCCGAAGCAUGACUGGGAAGGUCGCUGACAUUAUCCGUCAGCAUUUAUAGCCCUACCAUCUUGCGGUGACUGAAUACUGGUUUGACUAACGCUCAUUGACGAGAGACGCUUUGUCUGUAUUGUGUGGCGUGGCUUAGUCGAAUCGACGGCUGCGUUGUGCAUAACAGGCAGGUGAUUCGAGUUAGUUAGACUUUCGUGGUGAAGCUAAGGCUUUUGUCGAUCCCGUCUUGAAACACGGACCAAGGAGUUCAGCAUGUGCGCAAGUCAAUGGAUAUUACGAAAUCCAAAGGCGAAGUGAAAGUAAAGGUCUGCCCAUGCAGGCUUAGGUAGGAUCCUGGUUACGUUGUAUGGCAACAUGCACGGGCUGGGCGCACUACCAGCUCGUCCCAUGCUCUAUUGAGUGGGGCGAAGCAAGAGCGCAUACGCUGAGACCCGAAAGAUGGUGAACUAUGCUUGCGUAGGUUGAAGCCAGAGGAAACUNUGGUGGAGGACCGUAGCGAUUNUGACGUGCAAAUCGAUCGUCAAACGUGAGUAUAGGGGCGAAAGACUAAUCGAACCAUNUAGUAGCUGGUUCCCUCCGAAGUUUCCCUCAGGAUAGCAGGCACUCGUGAAGCAAACAGUUUUAUCCGGUAAAGCGAAUGAUUAGCAGUAUUGGGGAUGAAAUAUCCUCAACUGAUUCUCAAACUUAAAAUGGGUGAGAAGCUCAACUCUCUUAACUGGAGUUGCAGCAUUGAAUGUGAGUGCCUAGUGGGCCAUUUUUGGUAAGCAGAACUGGCGCUGUGGGAUGAACCAAACGUCUGGUUAAGGAGCCGAACAUAACGCUCAUGAGAUACCACAAAAGGUGUUGGUUGAUUUUGACAGCAGGACGGUGGCCAUGGAAGUCGGAAUCCGCUAAGGAGUGUGUAACAACUCACCUGCCGAAUCAACCAGCCCUGAAAAUGGAUGGCGCUUGAGCGUUGGUCCUAUACCGGACUGUUACCAUGAUCCGUUGAACUAAGUGGUAACAAGUAGGAGGGCGACGUGGCGAGCGUUGAAGCUAAGACGUACGUCUUGGUGGAGCAGCCAUGUGAGCUGAUCUUGGUGGUAGUAGCAAAUAUUCAAGUGAGAACCUUGAA